CGGUGACCAAGAAUGCUGCUUAUAAAGCGGAGAUGGCGCCAGCAGUUUCUGGUGUGGUUGUGCAGCUAGAGGUGGAACCAGAUGCUGUGGUGGCGGGAGUGGCGGCACGUAGGACGGGGGGAGCGACAUAGGCACAGCCCCGGGUGCGGGGGAGUGCGGCGGCGGCGGCCGGGGGGCCUCGCCUGGUGGGCUAGAGACCGCUAUGGCUAAAAGGAAAAUGUUAAAAUUUUCAACUUGGAGAGAGAGGCAAUGGGAUGGGUGGAUUAUAUGGUGGUGAGGUGGUGGGUGGUGGGACCGACAGGAGACUUGGUUUUGGUUGGUCUAUGUCAUGAUGAGCUGUCGUUCCUUUCUUUAGAA
rnacentral:misc_RNA from 1 species